UGCUUGCUUUGCAGGGAAUAUAUUAAAAUUGGAACAAUACAAAGAAGAUUGACAUGGCCUCUGUGAAAAGAUGAUACACAAAUUUGUGAAGAAUUCCAUGUUUUU